rnacentral:rRNA from 1 species
UACGGGGGGAGCAAGCGUUGUUCGGAUUUAUUGGGCGUAAAGAGCUCGUAGGCGGUUUGUCGCGUCGAAUGUGAAAACCCGGGGCUCAACCCCGGGCCUGCAUUCGAUACGGGCAGACUAGAGUUCGGUAGGGGAGUCUGGAAUUCCUGGUGUAGCGGUGAAAUGCGCAGAUAUCAGGAGGAACACCGGUGGCGAAGGCGGGACUCUGGGCCGAUACUGACGCUGAGGAGCGAAAGCGUGGGGAGCAAACAGG